AGUAUAUAUACACGGGUGUGUGUACAAGUGUGUGAACAGAUAGUUGAAUCUGUGAAUAUAUAUAUACUGCUGGGUGAGACUUACCGUGUUUUUCAGUGUAAAAGUCGAAAUUUUCAGACCAAAAUUUAUAGCCAAAAGUGGUAGGUCAACCAAUAUACUAAGAUGACUUUGGAAGACCAAAAAUUCCAUGUGAAAUGCAGUAGGGUUCGGAAAGAUAGAGAUGAUGUUUGAAUGUUUACACAAUAUAUGUCAACUUAUAUGCUAGAAAAUACAGUAAGUGGUUUUGUGUGCUCCUGCAGAGAUUACAGUUAAUCUACCCGAUAAAUAAAAGGGAUAAAGCUGGGUUCCAGGAACUUUAUGAAGUUUUUGGUCAGCUGAUAUUCUAGUUAUUACACAUGCACACAGUACUAAUAAAAGUGUCAAUG